rnacentral:rRNA from 1 species
UACAGAGGUCACAAGCGUUAUCCGGAUUUAUUGGGCGUAAAGCGUUUCGUAGGUGAUUUGUUAAGUUGCUCUUCAAAUACCGAGGCUCAACCUCGGGAAGGGGAGUAAGACUGACAGAAUUGAAUAGUGGUGGGGUUUCUAGAACUGGUGGUGUAGUAGUGAAAUACGUUGAUAUCAUCAGGAAUUCCAAGGGCGAAGGCAGGAAACUAACCAUUUAUUGACACUGAGGAACGACAGCUAGGGGA